rnacentral:rRNA from 1 species
CGGGUGAGUAACACGUGAGCAACCUGCCCCUGACUCUGGGAUAAGCGCUGGAAACGGCGUCUAAUACUGGAUACGAGACGUGACCGCAUGGUCAACGUUUGGAAAGAUUUUUUGGUUGGGGAUGGGCUCGCGGCCUAUCAGCUUGUUGGUGAGGUAAUGGCUCACCAAGGCGUCGACGGGUAGCCGGCCUGAGAGGGUGACCGGCCACACUGGGACUGAGACACGGCCCAGACUCCUACGGGAGGCAGCAGUGGGGAAUAUUGCACAAUGGGCGGAAGCCUGAUGCAGCAACGCCGCGUGAGGGAUGACGGCCUUCGGGUUGUAAACCUCUUUUAGCAGGGAAGAAGCGAAAGUGACGGUACCUGCAGAAAAAGCACCGGCUAACUACGUGCCAGCAGCCGCGGUAAUACGUAGGGUGCAAGCGUUAUCCGGAAUUAUUGGGCGUAAAGAGCUCGUAGGCGGUUUGUCGCGUCUGCUGUGAAAUCCGGAGGCUCAACCUCCGGCCUGCAGUGGGUACGGGCAGACUAGAGUGCGGUAGGGGAGAUUGGAAUUCCUGGUGUAGCGGUGGAAUGCGCAGAUAUCAGGAGGAACACCGAUGGCGAAGGCAGAUCUCUGGGCCGUAACUGACGCUGAGGAGCGAAAGGGUGGGGAGCAAACAGGCUUAGAUACCCUGGUAGUCCACCCCGUAAACG